GCCGCCGACCGCUACUUCGCCGCCCUUGAAGGCCCUGAGCUCGAGACCCUUCGGCCAGCAGAGGUAGCGGUGCUGCCCAAUGGCGAGCCCUGGCCGUUUCUCCUCCGAUUUCCGAUCAGUGCGUUCGGAAUGUGUCUCGGCGUGAGCAGCCAGGCAAUGUUGUGGAAGACUCUUUCGUCAGAGCACUCCACGGGGUUCCUCGGCGUGCACCCCGCCGUCAACCGCGUCCUCUGGUGGGCCUCCGUCGCCCUCACCGUCAUUGUAUCCAUCACGUACCUACUCAAGGUUGUGUUCUACUUCGAGGCCGUCCGCCGCGAGUUCCACCAUCCGGUCCGCGUCAACUUCUUUUUUGCACCCUGGAUCGCUUGCCUCUUCCUCGUCAAGGGCUUGCCCCGCCCCGAGAGGGAGAUCAGACACAUCGUCUGGUACCUCCUCAUGACACCCAUCCUCUGCCUCGAUCUCAAGAUCUAUGGCCAAUGGAUGUCCAGCGGCGAGCGCCGGCUCUCGAAGGUGGCCAACCCGUCGAACCACCUCGCCGUUGUUGGCAACUUUGUGGGAGCACUACUCGGUGCCAAGAUGGGCCUCCGUGAGUUGCCCAUCUUUUUCUUUGCCGUCGGGCUCGCUCACUACCUCGUGCUCUUUGUUACCCUCUACCAAAGGCUCCCCACCAGCAUGCAGCUUGCCAAGGAGCUCCAUCCUAUCUUCUUCUUCUUCGUCACCGUACCCAGUGUCGCCUCUAUGGCCUGGGCGAGGAUCUCUGGCGAGUUCGGCCACGGCCCCAAGCUUCUUUACUUCGUUUCACUCUUUCUCUAUGCAUCCUUGGUGGUACGCAUCAACCUGUUCAGGGGGGUUCGGUUCUCACUGACAUGGUGGGCCUACACGUUCCCGCUAACGAGCGCCGCGCUGGCCACUGUGUUGUAUGCAUCGGAGGUGGACAACAUGCUGACCCGAGCAUUGGCGGUCGGGCUGGCAGGGAUCGCCACCGUCACGGUCAUUGGAGUCAUGGUCAGCACCGUAUACCAUGCGUUCGUGAGUAAGGACAUCUUCCCCAAUGAUGUCUGCAUCGCGAUCACAAGGCAGAGGCCCAAGUUCAACAAGAUCCUUGCACACCUCUGCUUGUCCAGCACCGAUGAGGCCACCAUUUAG
rnacentral:rRNA from 1 species